CCUACGGGUGGCAGCAGUGGGGAAUAUUGGACAAUGGGCGAAAGCCUGAUCCAGCCAUGCCGCGUGUGUGAAGAAGGCCUUCGGGUUGUAAAGCACUUUCAGUGGGGAAGAAAGCCUUGGGGCUAAUACCCUCGAGGAAGGACAUCACCCACAGAAGAAGCACCGGCUAACUCCGUGCCAGCAGCCGCGGUAAUACGGAGGGUGCGAGCGUUAAUCGGAAUUACUGGGCGUAAAGCGCGCGUAGGCGGUCUGAUAAGCCGGUUGUGAAAGCCCCGGGCUCAACCUGGGAACGGCAUCCGGAACUGUCAGGCUAGAGUGCAGGAGAGGAAGGUAGAAUUCCCGGUGUAGCGGUGAAAUGCGUAGAGAUCGGGAGGAAUACCAGUGGCGAAGGCGGCCUUCUGGACUGACACUGACGCUGAGGUGCGAAAGCGUGGGUAGCAAACGGGAUUAGAUACCCCGGUAGUC
rnacentral:rRNA from 1 species